UUGGUUUAAAACGAUGUCUUGAAAAUCUCUCAAGCUUCAGUUCAACUGGAGAGAUGAAAAAUGAUGAAAGAUGUACAAUAAUAUAAGUGAACUUAAGUGCAACAUUUCUAGAAUUAAUUCAAAAAUCAAAAUGUCAUCAUUGCUGUUACACCAAAGGCUGUGGGUGCCAGUUAGCGGCAGCGCUCUCCCCUCCCCCUUGUGUUUUGGUGUCACUCUCUAAUUAGGUGUGCGUGUGCACAGAGGCUGGCAGGAGAUGAUGGCAAUCCCUUAUCAGUGAGAGCAGUGCACGAGCAGGUGGGAGCAGUCCAAUCAGCCACUCCAACUCCUCCAUAAAACCUGACGCCACUCACCACUCGUCGCCGGACCAUGAACGUUCUCUAACCGGUUCCUGCCUGCUCGUAUUACCUCGGAUUCCUGGUUCCGUCCUCUGCAGAACCCCUGUGUGGUCUACCCUGGAUAUCUCUGGUCUCCUUACAUCAGUAUCGGCUCAGUCACUCCUGCACCUCUGAUGCCAGUCACCUGCCGUGCCACUUCUGUUGCCCUGGCCGCCAUGCCACCUCUGACACCAACCUCACAAAGCUCUGCCGCCAUUCUGCUGUUGGAUUCCUGCCACACCACCGCUGGUUCCAGCCACAGCCACCUGCAGCUGCUACGUCACUGCUGGCUGUGUACUACCACCUCUCAGUGCACCGGUCUUGCCUGAAAAUGUCUACGUCAGCUAAGUUUCCAAACCCGUACAGUACCAGACUCAAAUUCACUACUCCUUAGUGCCGAAAUUCUCUGACAUCGUAUUUGGGCUUCUGUACUAGCUGAUCUAUGGUUUUCGUAUGACACUUGAUUGUAGUAUUACACAUUAUUACUUCAAGCUUGUUUCUUGUCUCGAAUAUGGUAUUCCUGCCUUGGUAGUACCAUACAUGGGUCUGCUAACGUUACCCUUUUCUCUUGUCUUGUAGUUUUUCCUCCUCCCUGCUAGGAGGAUUCGAGUCUUCCUUAGAUGGAAGGAUUAUUUCCGCGUCGAGUGUAGUUCUGGUUUCCGAUAGUAGUUUUUUUUUUUUGUUGUUGUUGUUCCUGUUUUGUAAAUAAAGCCUUUUGAAUUGCU